rnacentral:rRNA from 1 species
UCGGGGGAAACCCUGAUGCAGCCAUGCCGCGUGUGUGAAGAAGGCCGUUCGGGUUGUAAAGCACUUUCAGGUAGGGAGGAAGGUAGUGUAGUUAACACCUGCACUAUUUGACGUUACCUACAGAAGAAGCACCGGCUAACUCCGUGCCAGCAGCCGCGGUAAUACGGAGGGUGCGAGCGUUAAUCGGAAUUACUGGGCGUAAAGCGCAUGCAGGCGGCCUGUUAAGUCAGAUGUGAAAGCCCCGGGGCUUAACCUCGGAAUUGCAUUUGAAACUGGCAGGCUAGAGUCUUGUAGAGGGGGUAGAAUUUCAGGUGUAGCGGUGAAAUGCGUAGAGAUCUGAAGGAAUACCAGUGGCGAAGGCGGCCCCCUGGACAAAGACUGACGCUCAGAUGCGAAAGCGUGGGGAGCAAACAGGAUUAGAUACCCUGGUAG